rnacentral:rRNA from 1 species
ACGCUCGACACCUACGGGGGGCAGCAGUCGGGAAUAUUGCGCAAUGGAGGAAACUCUGACGCAGUGACGCCGCGUGCAGGAAGAAGGUUUUCGGAUUGUAAACUGCUUUAGACAGGGAAGAAAGAAAUGACAGUACCUGUAGAAUAAGCUCCGGCUAACUACGUGCCAGCAGCCGACGGUAAUCUGGAGGCGGGCGUGGACGAAGGC